rnacentral:rRNA from 1 species
UAGAUGAUUUUAGUGCUUGCACUAAAUGAAACUAGAUACAAGCGAGCGGCGGACGGGUGAGUAACACGUGGGUAACCUGCCCAAGAGACUGGGAUAACACCUGGAAACAGAUGCUAAUACCGGAUAACAACACUAGACGCAUGUCUAGAGUUUGAAAGAUGGUUCUGCUAUCACUCUUGGAUGGACCUGCGGUGCAUUAGCUAGUUGGUAAGGUAAUGGCUUACCAAGGCGAUGAUGCAUAGCCGAGUUGAGAGACUGAUCGGCCACAUUGGGACUGAGACACGGCCCAAACUCCUACGGGAGGCAGCAGUAGGGAAUCUUCCACAAUGGACGAAAGUCUGAUGGAGCAACGCCGCGUGAGUGAAGAAGGGUUUCGGCUCGUAAAGCUCUGUUGGUAGUGAAGAAAGAUAGAGGUAGUAACUGGCCUUUAUUUGACGGUAAUUACUUAGAAAGUCACGGCUAACUACGUGCCAGCAGCCGCGGUAAUACGUAGGUGGCAAGCGUUGUCCGGAUUUAUUGGGCGUAAAGCGAGUGCAGGCGGUUCAAUAAGUCUGAUGUGAAAGCCUUCGGCUCAACCGGAGAAUUGCAUCAGAAACUGUUGAACUUGAGUGCAGAAGAGGAGAGUGGAACUCCAUGUGUAGCGGUGGAAUGCGUAGAUAUAUGGAAGAACACCAGUGGCGAAGGCGGCUCUCUGGU